rnacentral:rRNA from 1 species
AUUGAACGCUAUCGGGAUGCUUUACACAUGCAAGUCGAACGGAGUGGCGGACGGGUGAGUAAUGUCUCGGAACCUGCCCAAUGGCGGGGGAUAACUACUCGAAACAGUGGCUAAUACCGCAUAAUAUUGGAUGUGCCCAUAUGGGAUUAGCUAGUUGGGGGGGUAAAGGCUCACCAAGGCAACGAUCCCUAGCUGGUUUGAGAGGAUGACCAGCCACACUGGAACUGAGACACGGCCCAGACUCCUACGGGAGGCAGCAGUGGGGAAUUUUGGACAAUGGGGGAAACCCUGAUGCAGCCAUGCCGCGUGUAUGAUGAAGGCCUUCGGGUUGUAAAGUACUUUCGGCAGAGAAGCGUUAUCUGCAGAAGAAGCACCGGCUAACUACGUGCCAGCAGCCGCGGUAAUUC